UGAAAUCGAUAUCUUUUUGUCUGUUU
rnacentral:piRNA from 1 species